AAUCAUUAUUCACCUGUAACUUGAAUAUAUUUUGGCAAACAGUCAAAAAUACAAAACUUGUGUUUGUGUCCAAUUAUUUACCUAAGUGUACAUGCAUGUUGUGCCUCAGUUAGUACUAUGUGUUUGUAUUUCCUGUCAAGUAUUGUAACGUUAAUUACAACCUCAGAAGUGUGUGACUGUGUUGUUGGUGUACAGUUUUGUGAAGUUUAGUUUUUGGGAUUGUGAACUGUUAUUUCCCUCCAGUCCGCAGGGAUGGACCGAUCUCUGUUCCUCCUGCUGCUAUUCACAGAACACAAUCACACCAGUAAAUACAUCUACAUCGACUAUCAAGGCAAUUGGAAUUUCUCUCAGAACUACUGUAAACUACACAGACCUGGCCAGUGUGAGGAACUCAACAGAGUGGGAGAAAGUGAACAACAUCUCUCUCUCAUCUAAUGGUAACCUGGUGUGGAUCGGACUGCAUAAACUUCUCUGUGUCUGUGGUUGGUACAACAACAGUGGCUCCUGCAGAAACUGCACACUGUAUAACGGGAAUGGGGGAAAUCCUAGUUGUCUUUUUGAACGUACUUUUAUAUGCUAGGAUGGUGAGCCAUUGACACCAACUAACAGUACAUUAAUAUACAUGGUCAGAAGCCUUGUGGUUCUGUAGAAACCAGAGGAUACCUGCACAUUGAACUUCUGGUUCUGGGUCAGUGGAAAUUAUUCCUGCUACCAGAACUGGGCUGAAGGGCAGGACCAUAAUUCUUCUUCUUAUUCUUCUUAUUCUUCCUCUUAAAAUGUGGAUAAUUCCACUGACAACGAGAUCAGCGCCACCCAGUGGGCAGCUCUAUUGUAGGACUGGUGUCUGCCAGCACAGUCGUGUUUGUUGGAAGAGACUCUCCUGCAGCAUAUGUGCCAGCGGAUGCUCAGUGACAAGACAGUAGAGUAUGUAUGAAGCAGAACGACUUUGUCUCGAUCUUUGAACCUCCUAAAUCCAUGGUGGUGUCGCUGUCAUGAGGCAAGACGUUAAUCGAAAAUUAGACACAGCUUAAAAUGGGAGGACAGAAAGGUGUGUUAUUCUCUUCUAGUUUGUCUCUGAUAUUAUAUCUGUUCUCUAAUCCAGGAUACUAGGAACAGACCCAACUCUCUGGACCAACUAAAAACUCCAACCAUAAUCCCUGUUCCUGACCUGGCUCUCUUGACCAACUAAAUCCUGUACCCCAACAUAUUGAUUCCAGGCAUUGCGCUGAUUUACAUUAUUCAAGGUGAUAGAUCAAGUCUUACAAUGCCCACUCACCUUGAAUAAUGUAAAUCAGCGCAAUUUUAUAUUCUAGAUAUUAAUUUAAAUCAUUUGUAUGUCUUUAUAUUAUAUUUUAU
rnacentral:lncRNA from 1 species